rnacentral:rRNA from 1 species
UGAGGAACAUGACUUUCGGCGGGGGAUAGCCGGCCCAACGGCCGGGUAAUACCGCGUACGACCUUUUGGGGACAUCCCCGAUUGGUGAAAGCAGCAAUGCGCCGAAAGAGUGCCUCGCGGCCUAUCAGCUAGUUGGUGAGGUAACGGCUCACCAAGGCGACGACGGGUAGCUGGUCUGAGAGGACGACCAGCCACACUGGAACUGAGAUACGGUCCAGACUCCUACGGGAGGUAG